rnacentral:rRNA from 1 species
UACGUAGGGGGCAAGCGUUGUCCGGAUUUAUUGGGCGUAAAGAGCGUGUAGGCGGCCAGACAGGUCCGUUGUGAAAACUCGAGGCUCAACCUCGAGACGUCGACGGAAACCGUCUGGCUAGAGUCCGGAAGAGGAGUGUGGGAAUUCCCGGUGUAGUGGUGAAAUGCGUAGAUAUCGGGAGGAACACCAGUGGCGAAGGCGACUACCUGGCCUGUUCUUGACGCUGAGGCGCGAAAGCUAGGGGAGCAAACGGG